CGGGGCGUGGCUCAGCCCGGAGAGAGCGCUCGGUUCGGGACCGAGAGGUCGGCAGUUCAAAUCUGCUCGCCCCGA
rnacentral:tRNA from 2 species